UACGUAGGGGGCAAGCGUUGUCCGGAUUUAUUGGGCGUAAAGAGCGUGUAGGCGGCCAGGUAGGUCCGUUGUGAAAACUGGAGGCUUAACCUCCAGCUGUCGAUGGAAACCAUCUGGCUAGAGUCCGGAAGAGGAGAGUGGAAUUCCUGGUGUAGCGGUGAAAUGCGCAGAUAUCAGGAAGAACACCCGUGGCGAAGGCAG
rnacentral:rRNA from 1 species